rnacentral:sRNA from 1 species
GUAAAACAUGUUAAAAGAUGUAAUUAAGACGUGUUUUGUUACCAUUUUUUUUUAUCUUUAUGACUAAGCUGUCCUGUUUUAAUAUUAACAUGAUGGUAAAUUUACCAGAUGAAUGGAGUCCAAUUUUAACUCAGUUGGCAUUCAAAAGUUGUGUAGUAUCCAAGUUUUCUGAUCAGAUGUAUCAUGUUAUAUCAGAUCACUGUAUGUUAUUUAAUACAAUUACUUGUAUAUAAAUUUAACGGUAUGAAAUGCAGCAUUUUAGUUUUGGAAUGGAUUGAAUGAUUGAUUUGCUUGUUAAAUAAAUAUACUCGUCUAUUUAUAAACAUG